GAUGAACGCUGGCGGCGUGCCUAAUACAUGCAAGUCGAGCGAACAGACGAGGAGCUUGCUCCUCUGACGUUAGCGGCGGACGGGUGAGUAACACGUGGAUAACCUACCUAUAAGACUGGGAUAACUUCGGGAAACCGGAGCUAAUACCGGAUAAUAUAUUGAACCGCAUGGUUCAAUAGUGAAAGACGGUUUUGCUGUCACUUAUAGAUGGAUCCGCGCCGCAUUAGCUAGUUGGUAAGGUAACGGCUUACCAAGGCAACGAUGCGUAGCCGACCUGAGAGUGGGGACGGCCCCAGCGAAAGGUGAGCCGCUUCCAGCUACCAGUGGGAGGCCUGUGUGGGGCUUUUUCCGCAAAUGGGUAAACAUUAAGGGAGAAAGGCACCGUGCUGGUAAAGGGUUUGGGGAUAAAAAAUCUUUUUUAUUAGGAAAAAACAAAUUGUUAAUUCAUCUCAAGCAGCUGUACAGAACCAAACUGAAAAGCAACGUCGAAAUGAGA
rnacentral:rRNA from 1 species